rnacentral:misc_RNA from 1 species
UUCUAUAACAUCCUUUUUAGAUGAAAAAGGAAUCGAAACGUGAAUCUGCAGUCAGCAAAUUUUGAACAAUUUUCCAUUAUUUAUGAAUUACAAGAGAGCACAACUCAAAUCCCACUUCAAGAAGAUCUUAAAGAAGUAACAGAAAAUUGUUCAAAGUUUGUUGACUGCAGAUUCACGUUUCGAUUGCUUUUUCAUCUAAAAAGGAUGUUAUAGAAAAAGCAUCAAGACAUCCAUAAAAUAAGUUGAUACAGGAUCACCAGAUAUCCAAAAAUGCAACUCUUAAACUCAGGUUAUCAACCCUAAAAAAGAUACCAGGUUCAUAUGGUCAGGCUACUGGUCCUCAGUAUAAAAAUGAAAAUGCAUCAAGCUGCCUGAGCUUCAAUCUCUUGGGCAGUUUCUGUUGAUUUUGGUGAGGUUGGCUUCAUCUCCAAUGAUUUUGAUAAGCUUGGAAUG